GAUGAACGCUGGCGGCGUGCCUAAUACAUGCAAGUCGAGCGAACGGACGAGAAGCUUGCUUCUCUGAUGUUAGCGGCGGACGGGUGAGUAACACGUGGAUAACCUACCUAUAAGACUGGGAUAACUUCGGGAAACCGGAGCUAAUACCGGAUAAUAUUUUGAACCGCAUGGUUCAAAAGUGAAAGACGGUCUUGCUGUCACUUAUAGAUGGAUCCGCGCUGCAUUAGCUAGUUGGUAAGGUAACGGCUUACCAAGGCAACGAUGCAUAGCCGACCUGAGAGGGUGAUCGGCCACACUGGAACUGAGACACGGUCCAGACUCCUACGGGAGGCAGCAGUAGGGAAUCUUCCGCAAUGGGCGAAAGCCUGACGGAGCAACGCCGCGUGAGUGAUGAAGGUCUUCGGAUCGUAAAACUCUGUUAUUAGGGAAGAACAUAUGUGUAAGUAACUGUGCACAUCUUGACGGUACCUAAUCAGAAAGCCACGGCUAACUACGUGCCAGCAGCCGCGGUAAUACGUAGGUGGCAAGCGUUAUCCGGAAUUAUUGGGCGUAAAGCGCGCGUAGGCGGUUUUUUAAGUCUGAUGUGAAAGCCCACGGCUCAACCGUGGAGGGUCAUUGGAAACUGGAAAACUUGAGUGCAGAAGAGGAAAGUGGAAUUCCAUGUGUAGCGGUGAAAUGCGCAGAGAUAUGGAGGUACACCAGUGGCGAAGGCGACUUUCUGGUCUGUAACUGACGCUGAUGUGCGAAAGCGUGGGGAUCAAACAGGAUUAGAUACCCUGGUAGUCCACGCCGUAAACGAUGAGUGCUAAGUGUUAGGGGGUUUCCGCCCCUUAGUGCUGCAGCUAACGCAUUAAGCACUCCGCCUGGGGAGUACGACCGCAAGGUUGAAACUCAAAGGAAUUGACGGGGACCCGCACAAGCGGUGGAGCAUGUGGUUUAAUUCGAAGCAACGCGAAGAACCUUACCAAAUCUUGACAUCCUUUGACAACUCUAGAGAUAGAGCCUUCCCCUUCGGGGGACAAAGUGACAGGUGGUGCAUGGUUGUCGUCAGCUCGUGUCGUGAGAUGUUGGGUUAAGUCCCGCAACGAGCGCAACCCUUAAGCUUAGUUGCCAUCAUUAAGUUGGGCACUCUAAGUUGACUGCCGGUGACAAACCGGAGGAAGGUGGGGAUGACGUCAAAUCAUCAUGCCCCUUACGAUUUGGGCUACACACGUGCUACAAUGGACAAUACAAAGGGCAGCGAAACCGCGAGGUCAAGCAAAUCCCAUAAAGUUGUUCUCAGUUCGGAUUGUAGUCUGCAACUCGACUACAUGAAGCUGGAAUCGCUAGUAAUCGUAGAUCAGCAUGCUACGGUGAAUACGUUCCCGGGUCU
rnacentral:rRNA from 1 species